rnacentral:lncRNA from 1 species
AUUUUUCUUCUCAGGAGGCGAGAAUGUAGUGAGUACGAGUCGGGGUAUGGAAUGAUGGUUUUAGAGAGUUGUUUAGUAGUCCUCACCAUUUUUGUAAAAUAAUGUAUCAAUAAUUAUGAUGAAGAUUUAUUUGUAUGUGGAUAUUGUCUAGAUGGCAAUAUCUGUAUUUAAACUCACAGUUUAUAUGUUGUAACAAUAAAGUUGUAGUUAUUUCUGUACCAUGUUAUUGGCGACUCAAAAUGGGUGA